GACGAACGCUGGCGGCGUGCUUAACACAUGCAAGUCGAACGGAAAGGCCUCUUUCGGGGGGUACUCGAGUGGCGAACGGGUGAGUAACACGUGAGUAACCUUCCCUUGACUUUGGGAUAACUUCAGGAAACUUGGGCUAAUACCGGAUAGGAGCUCCUGCUUCAUGGUGGGGGUUGGAACGCUUCGGCGGUUGGGGAUGGACUCGCGGCUUAUCAGCUUGUUGGUGGGGUAGUGGCUUACCAAGGCUUUGACGGGUAGCCGGCCUGAGAGGGUGAACGGCGACAUUGGGACUGAGAUACGGCCCAGACGCCUACGGGAGGCAGCAGUGGGGAAUAUUGCACAAUGGGUGGAAGCCUGAUGCAGCAACGCCGGGUGCGGGAUGACGGCCUUCGGGUUGUAAACCGCUUUCGCUCAUGACGAAGCUUUGUGUGACGGUAGUGGGUAAAGAAGCACCGGCUAACUACGUG
rnacentral:rRNA from 1 species